rnacentral:rRNA from 1 species
UAAGGAAUAUUGCUCAAUGGGAGAAAUCCUGAAGCAGCAACGCCGCGUGGAGGAUGAAGGGUCUAUGACUUGUAAACUCCUGUAAAGAAGGAAAAAAUUCCCAUUUGAUGGGAGAUGAUGGUACUUCUGGAGUAAGCCCCGGCUAACUACGUGCCAGCAGCCGCGGUAAUACGUAGGGGGCAAGCGUUGUCCGGAUUUACUGGGUGUAAAGGGUGCUCGGGCGGAUUUGUAAGUCAGAGGUGAAAUCUUACAGCUUAACUGUGAAACUGCCUUUGAUACUGCAAGCCUAGAGUAUGGAAGAGAGUGAUGGAAUAUCUGGUGUAGCAGUGAAAUGCGUAGAUAUCAGAUAGAACACCAAUGGCGAAGGCAGUCACUUGGUCCAUUACUGACGCUAAAGCACGAAAGCGUGGGUAGCAAACA